rnacentral:rRNA from 1 species
UACGAAGGGGGCUAGCGUUGCUCGGAAUCACUGGGCGUAAAGCGCACGUAGGCGGAUCUUUAAGUCAGGGGUGAAAUCCUGGAGCUCAACUCCAGAACUGCCUUUGAUACUGGGGAUCUCGAGUCCGGAAGAGGUGAGUGGAGCUCCGAGUGUAGAGGUGAAAUUCGUAGAUAUUCGGAAGAACACCAGUGGCGAAGGCGGCUCACUGGUCCGGUACUGACGCUGAGGUGCGAAAGCGUGGGGAGCGAACAGG